rnacentral:lncRNA from 1 species
UCAAGAUCAAAUUACGUAGAGUUGUGGACCUUAUCGUUGACCGAGAGUUGACUUGUGGUUAACAUGUCUCGAAACGUUCUAAAUAAUAAAAUUAGUACUACGGGACUAAUUGAAGUCUAGUGGGCCUAUAUUGGUUAGAUAUUGACUUGAAUAUAUGAUAUAUGAUUAUUAUCUUAAUUUCUUAUAUUGGUAUCAUUUGUGAAUAUGAAUUGGUCUUAUAAAUAUGAUUUCUAUUGAAAUGAGAUUUUUAUAUAUUUAGCCAUAGACCUAUGCUUAUUACAUAUGAUUUGACUUGUGUACUGAUGAUGUUUGUGAUAUAUAUAUGUGUUUAAUUAUCUUUUUAAUAAUGUGAAUGAUAAUUAUGAUGAAUGUUAUGACAAUUAUGGGAUCUAAUUAUUGUUUGAUAAUUAUUUGGAUAUGAUUGCCAACUGAAUACCUAUUUGAACUUGACAUUACUACCUAGCAUGUGAUAGGGAUAAAAGUUAGGAGAUGAGUUAGGUACUUUAUUAGAUUUUUAGUAGAAAUAGUAAUUAGGGGAAUUCCUUCUGCUGUGCUCCAUAUGACUAGAUGUUGGUUGAUAUGUGGAAUCAAUAGCGUGUAUACGUAUAAUUGGGUAUAAUGUGUGAUGAUGAGACCGCACAAUGUAGUAGUGGUACAUGGAUGGUCCUGCUUGGUAUAUCUGCGAUGGGGGACCAUACAUAUGCUAGGAGUGAUCAUGCUUGGUAUAUCCACAAUGGGUGAUCACUACCUAGAGCUAUAUGACACAGUCCUGCUUGGUAUAUCCGUGAUGGGGGACUAUUAGAAGUGAUCAUGCUUGGUAUAUCUGCGAUGGGGAACCAUACGCAUGCUAGGAGUGAUUAUGCUUGGUAUAUCCGCGAUGGGUGAUCACUACCUAGAGCUAGGAUGUGGUCUUCCUUAGUAUAUCUGCGAUGGGGGGCCAUAUGUAUUUAGGGGUGAUCAUGCUUGGUAUAUUUGCGAUGGGUGAUUACUGUUUGCACGAUGAGAUUAUGCCUAUGGUUCUACUUGGUAUAUCUGCGAUGGGGGACCAUAGGCAUUCUAGAGGUGAUGAUGAUUAGUUGUACUUGGUACAUUUGAUAGGCGAUAAAGAGAGGGAUAUAGUUCACCCGGUUACACCCAAGAAUCUGCCCAAGUUAAGGGCAUCUCUUGCCAAGGCCAAGUCUCAAUAAAGAUUAGGCAAAAGCUUCGAGUGUUAUGUAUUUUAUUCAUAAAGGAUUAAAAAUUGUGAUAAAUUGAUAACAGUACACGUGUUUGACACUAUAUCAUUGUUAACACAUACAGUCAUACAAGAAAACAGAAAUAAACUUACAAGCAUCCUCUUCUGGGGUAAAUUUAUGACCAACAAAUUCUUCAAGUCAUGCAAUAUAACCCGCAUAUCGCGGUAGCAUCAAUCUGAAAGCAUGGCAAGAUGGAAAUACUAACAGACGACUGCAAGAUCACUUUCUCCAAAAAUGAAUUCACUCAGUUCCAACUUCUUGAAAUUUGACACGUUUACCAUGCACCUCCAGCAUACAUGUAAACUCUGCUAUCCUCCAAAUUACACUUUGACACCAAUGUAUCCUUGAAAAGCAUAAAUUAACUUUCUGAGCGAUCCCAACUCAUCCUCAUUCGACACCAAUGUAUCUUUCUUCCUUUACCAUUUUUUACACCUUUUGUUUGUGCUCGUUUGCGCAUGGUUCUAGUGUUAGAGUAAACAUAAACCAAGAACGAGUUAUAUGAACUACUAUUAUCAAAACACAAGUCAUUGUUCAUUAAACUAACGUAUGGAGAAAACCAUACUUACAGAUGAACCCGAAGAAGCAACCAUAUUUGAAUUCAGCAAUAAGACCGCAAUGUGCCUUCUCCUCUCUUCAGUAAUCAAAGCUCUUAACUAAUAAUAGGUCUUAGUCCUGAUAAUAAAGCGUACAAACUGCGAGAGCAGAGAUCACUAUAUAUACAACAUAAUCCUAGCCAAAUUCUAUAAGGAUUUCCCUAUUAAAAUCCAUAUAGAAAACUGAUUCCAAUCCAACAGUGGUUUAGUAUCUCUGUUCCUUAAGCAUUCCAGAACAAUAUGGAUUACAAAUCCAUUCCCAAUGAGACUUCCUAUUAAAUCUUGAAUUCAAAAACUAAAUACGGACUCAUACCAAUGCUCAUAUUCUUACAUCUAGUUCUUGUCAUGCAAUGUU